rnacentral:rRNA from 1 species
UACAGAGGGUGCGAGCGUUGUCCGGAAUCACUGGGCGUAAAGGGCGCGUAGGCGGCUGGCUAAGCGGGUGGUGAAAGCCCGGGGCUCAACCCCGGGUCGGCCAUGCGAACUGGUCAGCUGGAGCACGGUAGAGGCACAUGGAAUUCCGGGUGUAGCGGUGGAAUGCGUAGAGAUCCGGAAGAACACCGGUGGCGAAGGCAGCCCCCUGGGUCAAGACUGACGCUCAUGCACGAAAGCGUGGGGAGCAAACAGG